ACGGGGUCAUCUAUGGUUCGUGGUUUAUUUUACGAACCGUAGAUCCCAUCCGUGG
rnacentral:pre_miRNA from 1 species